UUUUAGUAGAGUUUGAUCCUAGCUCAGGAUGAACGCUGGCGGCGUGGAUAAGGCAUGCAAGUCGAACGGAUCUGUCCCAUGAAUUAUUGAAGGAUUUCAAGUAGUAAUACAAGAGAAACGGAUAUAAGGAUUGGGUUCGCAGAUUAGUGGCGAACGAGGUAGUAAUACACAGGAAUCUCCCCCCGAGUCAUGAAUAACCCAUCGAAAGAUGGACUAAUACAUGAUGGUCUCGCAAGAGUAAAGAAUUUCGCUCGGAGAAGAGCCUGUGCAGUAUCAGCUAGUUGGUAGUGUAAUGGACUACCAAGGCUAUGACGCUUAGGGGAGCUGAGAGGCUGACCCCCACCGAGGGAACUGAGACACGGUCCCUACACCUACGGGUGGCUGCAGUCGAGAAUCUUCCACAAUGGACGAAAGUCUGAUGGAGCGACGCCGCGUGAUGGACGAAGUCCUUAGGGACGUAAACAUCUUUUAUGAGGGAAGAAUUUUAUUGACGGUACCUCAUGAAUAAGGGGCUCCCAAUCUCGUGCCAGCAGGAGCGGUAAUACGAGAGCCCCGAGCGUUAUCCGGAAUCAUUGGGCGUAAAGGGUGUGUAGGCGGUUGUAUUAGUCUUCUGGUAAAUCUCCGGGCUUAACUCGGAACCAUUGGAGGAAACGGUACGACUAGAAUAUGUGAGAGGUGUACGGAACUCUACGUGUAGGGGUGAAAUCCGUUGAUAUGUAGGGGAACACCAAAAGCGAAAGCAGUACACUAGCGCAUUAUUGACGCUCAAACACGAAAGCGUGGGUAGCGAAUGGGAUUAGAUACCCCAGUAGUCCACGCCCUAAACGAUCUUCUCUAGCCAUUCGGAGUAUCGACCCUCUGAGAGGCGAAGCUAACGCGUUAAGAGAAGCGCCUGGGAAUUACGGCCGCAAGGCUAAAACUCAAAGGAAUAGACGGGGACUUGCACAAGCGGUGGAUUGUGUGGCUUAAUUCGUCGGUAAACGUAAAACCUCACCAGGGUUUGAAACCUAACUGUAAGCUCUCAGAAAAGGGAGCCCUCGCAAGACUGUUAGGCAGGUGCUGCAUGGUCGUCGUCAGUUCGUGGCUUGAGUUGUUCCCUUAAGUGGGGAAACGAACGCAACCCUCAUCGUGUGUUAUAUUUGUCACGCGAGACCGCCCAGCCCAAUGUAUAUGAUUUUUUCGUAUAUAUCGGGCUGGGAGGAAGGAGAGGAUGACGCCAGAUCCGCAUGGCCCUUUGAUACCCUGGGCUGCACACGCAAUACAAUGGUUACUACAACGCGAGGCAAUGGAGCGAUCCGGAGCAAAUCGUAAUAAAAGUAGCCCCAGUUCGGAUUGCAGUCUGAAACUCGACUGCAUGAAGUUGGAAUCGCUAGUAAUCGCGGGUCAUCAUACCGCGGUGAAUACGUUCUCAAGUCUUGUACUCACCGCCCGUCAAGUCAAGGGAGCCGGGAGUACCCGAAGGCUCACAUUUGUGGGACUACGGUAAGCUCGGUGACAGGGACUAAGUCGUAACAAGGCACGGGUAGCGGAAGCUGUUCGUGGAUUAAUUCAAAC
rnacentral:rRNA from 1 species